rnacentral:lncRNA from 1 species
UGUGGACAAAGAAUAGCACUUCACCUUAGAUUUUGUAUUUCCCUCUUUCUACUUUUCAGAUACCAGGGAAACUCAAAAAUUAAAAUUCACAAGCUCUAACUUGGGAGAGAACAGGCUGAAGUACCUUACCUGUCAUGGAGAACACAGAGACAGCUGAGACUGGUAAUAAAGAAGGACUGCUAUGGGUGAGAUAUUGGAUCUUGCAGAGUGUGAGCCCAUAAUAAUGCGAUCGAUGCUUGGCACCAAGGGGAGAAAAGAAGAUCCAGUGCAUGCCGCUGGAGACCUCACCUUCCCGGCAGGAGAUGGGGGCUUCAUCAGUCAAGCUGUUCAGUUCCAGGCAUGUGGACAGAGAUUGUUAUAACACCGUUCUUCAUCUCAUCUUAUUGAAAGGCUUCUGCACUGCCAGAGAAACCACCAACAGAGGUAAGAGACAACCUACAAUGUUCCUCAGAAAAAGGUCUACUAUCUAGAAUACAUAAAGAACUAACAAAAUCAGACCUGCUAAAGAUAAAGACCAAUUCAAAAAUAUGCAUCUGAAAUGAACAGACACUUCUCACACAAACAAGUAAAAGUAGCAAAUAAAUAUAUGAAAAAAUGUUCAACAUCACUGGUCAUUCAAGAGAUGCAGAUAAAAACAGUGCUGAGAUUCCACCUCACCCCAGAAAGAAUGGCUGCUAUCAAGAAAUAAACCAAUGACAAAUGCUGGCG